AAGAUUCUAAUAUAGUCUAACUUGGUUGGACACCUGACUAUCUCUUUUAUAAAAAGUUUUUCGGACAAAUCCUCAGGGUGCUGUUAAUUUUGCAUUAAUGAUGUUGCAAAUGGAGGGAGGUUGCCCAGUUGAUUACAACACCAUAACUGAUUUAUUUCUUCAGGUGUUUAUCUACUAUUAUUAAGUCCUUAUUGUGGUGAUUAGUAUCAUAAUAUUCGUGCUUCAUUAUGUU